ensembl:snRNA U4 U4 spliceosomal RNA
AGCUUUGCGCAGUGGCAGUAUCGUAGCCAAUGAGGUUUAUCCGACGCGCGAUUAUUGCUAAUUGAAAACUUUUCCCAGGACACCCUUAAGAUUACUAAUAAAGCAAGCUUCAUGGAAGCUACUAAUAA